GCUGGGUAUGGUGGUGCAUGCCUGUAAUCCCAGCAGCUUAGGAGGCUGAGGCAGGAGGAUUGAGAGUUCAAAGCCAGCCUCAGUAAUAGUGAGGUGCUAAGCAACUUAGUGAAACCCUGUCUCUA
rnacentral:sRNA from 1 species